AUCCUUAACUCUGAGUUGAUCUACUCUGAGUUAGGAAACUCUGAGUUUCCGGUUUCACAACACCUGAUUUGAGACGGUUUUAACAACUCCGAGUAGUUUGACCUGGAGUUAAGCACGUGCACGCCAGACAUAAACAGCCAGCAUCUGUGGAGCGCAGAUUUAAUGAUCAACCAAUGGAAAUAGGGAGAAGGAGGGGGCAGCAGCAAGCCAACAGCGAAUUACAGCACGUUUGUAAAAGGAAGUGCAAUACAGCAGCAGCUGCAAAGGAGAGGGAUCGGACCGGCCGCGAUCGUCGAACGGGGGGGUGGAGGGCAGCUCCUCUGCCUCCGUUAAAGGUGGGGCUGCUGGACUACCACCCGUUUUUUGUGUUAGUUUAAUAUUUCUAAUCAUUUAACGGAACAUCACAAGAGAGUAAAAUUCAGUUUUGAGUGUGAAAAGAGCAUUUUUUAAGGGAUCAAACUGCCACCUAAUACUUACUUGACAAUAUAAACCUUGAUCAAAAUGAUAAAAUGCCGAUGUUUCACCUGAAACUCUGGGUUUACUGAGUUAAACCUGCUCCCGAGCAGGUUAGGUUCACGGAGUCUGUUACUGUGGUAACUGACCGCGAGGUUGAGUUACCUCUCUUUGUGAAACAGGUUAGAGUUACCCCUCUCUCCCUGGUUUAACUAACCCUCCUUUGUGAAACGGAAAACUCAGAGUUUCCCUGUUUUCAGGGUUAACAAACUCGGAGUUUCCACUAAACCUGCUACGUGAAACGGACCCCUGAUCUCAACCCUCCACAGGUCAGGUAAUAACUUUAGAGCUGCAGCGUCCUCUGGUGGUGACCACAGAGAACAACAGUCCCUUCUCACUGCUCUCCUCAAAUAAACUUGACAGUAAUAUGCAGGGUAUUUUGUAUAAAUCAUGUAUUGCUCUAUAUUUGAAGACAACUAUUGCUUAUAUUAUGAUUAUGAUGAAGAUGAUUAUUACUCGACACUGAGCACCAACUGUAACUGAAGAUGAGUGUGUGUGUGUGUGUGUGUGUGUGUGUGUGUGUGUGUGUGUGUGUGUGUGUGUGAGGGAGAAGAAAGUUAUAUAAAUAAACACUUUGUCACUCCACA